CGGCCUGCUUGGUUCGGGUCUCUUCGUGUUCUCGCUCACUGCCUUCAAUAAUCUGGAGAAUCUUGUCUUUGGCAAAGGAUUCCAAGCAAAGAUCUUCCCUGAGAAUGCUUAGGUGAAAGGUUGUUAAGGAGAAAUAUAUUUACUGAAGCUGUCUGAAGACAGAUGACGCUUUUCGAUUCUGCACCUUGUAUAGCUCCUGGAGUUGGAGCUGGAAGAGAAGGCCUUUGAAAGCAAGAAACUUUGUUCUCCUGUGCCUCCUGUUGGCUCUCUUUGCAUCUGGCCUCAUCCACCGAGUCUGUGUCACCACCUGCUUCAUCUUCUCCAUGGUUGGUCUGUACUACAUCAACAAGAUCUCCUCCACCCUGUACCAGGCAGCAGCUCCAGUCCUCACACCAGCCAAGGUCACAGGCAAGAGCAAGAAGAGAAACUGACCCUGAAUGUUCAAUAAAGUUGAUUCUUUGUA
rnacentral:lncRNA from 1 species